AACUGAUACUACCUGCGGGAACCUGCGGAAGGAUCAUUACUGAAGUGAUUUGGGGAUGUUGCUGGCCCUCUCUCAAGGGGGGGCACUGUGCACUCCUCGAAACAAUUCACAAUUCCCAUCACACCCCUUGUGCACACCUUGUAGGCACCCAAACCCACCUCCGGGUGGUGGGGUCCUAUGUAUUCCUUCAUCUCACACUCUGUUGAAUGGUGCCAUGGGACGCAUCUAAAGGAUUAUUUG
rnacentral:misc_RNA from 1 species